CUACGGGCCGCACCAGUGAGGAAUAUUGGACAAUGGAUGGAAAUCUGAUCCAGCCAUGCCGCGUGCAGGAAGACGGCCCUAUGGGUUGUAAACUGCUUUUCUACGGGAGCAAUAAGGUCUACGAGUAGACUGAUGAGAGUACCGUAGGAAUAAGCAUCGGCUAACUCCGUGCCAGCAGCCGCGGUAAUACGGAGGAUGCGAGCGUUAUCCGGAUUUAUUGGGUUUAAAGGGUGCGUAGGCGGCUUUUUAAGUCAGCGGUGAAAUUUUGCAGCUUAACUGUAACAGUGCCGUUGAUACUGAGAGGCUAGGAUUUGGUUGCUGUGGGUGGAAUGUGUGGUGUAGCGGUGAAAUGCUUAGAGAUCACACAGAAUAUCGAUUGCGAAGGCAGCUCACAAAGCCAAGAUUGACGCUGAGGCACGAAAGUGUGGGGAUCAAACAGGAUUAGAUACCCGCGUAGUC
rnacentral:rRNA from 1 species